rnacentral:rRNA from 1 species
UACGUAGGGUGCGAGCGUUCAUCGGAAUUACUGGGCGUAAAGCGUGCGCAGGCGGUUUUGUAAGCCAGAUGUGAAAGCCCCGGGCUUAACCUGGGAAUGGCAUUUGGGACUGCAAGGCUUGAGUGCGGCAGAGGAGACUGGAAUUCCCGGUGUAGCAGUGAAAUGCGUAGAUAUCGGGAGGAAUACCGAUGGCGAAGGCAGGUCUCUGGGCUGACACUGACGCUCAUGCACGAAAGCGUGGGGAGCAAACAGG